rnacentral:lncRNA from 10 species
CCUGGCCAGAGUCUGGGCAGAGAGAGUCUCUGCUGCUCCUGCUGCUGCUCCUGCUGCUCCUGCUGCUGCUCCUGCUGCUCCUGCUGCUCCUGCUGCUCCUGCCCGGCCUCCCCUCUAGGUAACCCGGAACCCUGACUCCGUGUUGUAUUUAUUGAAUUAAGAUUGAUGCUUCAUGUUCUUCAACAGACCAGGAGAGUUUAUCUUUCUUAUUUAAUAAGGUUUUUUGUUUUGUUUUGAGACGGGGUCUCGCUCUGUCCCAGACUGGAAUGUAGUGGUGCAAUCAUGGCUCACUGCAACCUCGACCUCCUGGAUUCAAGCAAUCCUCCCUCCUGGUCCCUCCAAUGUGCUGGAACUACAGACAUGAGCCACCACGCUCGGCCUAUUUACUAGCCUUUUUACUGAAAAAUUUAUUCACUCACUUAUUGGCCAGGCGCAGUACCUCACACCUGUAAUCCCAGCACUUUGGGAGGCCCAGGCAGGAGGAUCACUUGAGCCUAGGAAUUCCAGACCACCUGGCCAACAUGGUGAAAUCCCUUCUCUACUGAAAAUACAAAAAUUAGCCAUGGAUGGUGGCACACACCUGUAAUCCCAGCUAAGUGGGGGCCUGAGGCAAGAGGAUCGCUUGAGCCUGGGAGGCAGAUGUUGCAAUGAGGCCAGAUCACACCACUGCACUCCAUCCUGGGUGACAGAGCAAGACUCCAUCCAAAAAAAAAAAAAAGCAUUCACUCACUGUUUUAUUUUUCUUAUUUAAUAGGAAGAAGAAAGUACUGUUCAAAUCAGGGACUUGACUCCCACAAGACUCCCACAAGAGCCCGGAGUCUUAAGUGGACAAUGAGCCGUUUAAAACCAUGCACAGGCCAGUCGCGGUGGCUUAGCCCGUAAUCCCAGCACUCUGGGAGGCCAAGGAGGGCAGGUCACUUGAGGUCAGAAGUUCGAGACCAGCCUGGCCAGCAUGGUGAAACCCCAUUUCUAGUAAAAAUACAAAAAUUAGCCGGAUGUAGUGGUACGCAUUUGUAAUCCCAGCUACUUGG